AAGAAGUUGCCUGAAACAAUUUAUGAUUUAUAUAAUUUGCAAACCUUAAAUAUUCAAGGAUGUUCCAGUCUUCCGAAACUACCACAGGCAAUGGGUAAACUAAUUAAUUUGAGGCAUCUUGAAAAUUCUUUUCUUAAUAAUAAGGGCUUGCCAAAAGGAAUUGGAAGAUUAAGCUCUCUUCAGACACUGAAUGUUUUCAUUGUGAGUAGUCAUGGCAAUGAUGAAGGCCAAAUAGGAGACCUGAGAAACUUGAACAACCUAAGAGGAGAUCUUUCCAUUCAAGGGUUGGAUGAAGUGAAAGAUGCAGGGGAGGCAGAAAAAGCAGAAUUGAAGAAUAAGGUACACCUCCAAGAUUUGACAUUGGGAUUUGAUAGAGAGGAGGGGACCAAGGGUGUGGCUGAAGCUUUACAACCCCAUCCAAACUUGAAAGCUCUACAUAUAUAUUAUUAUGGUGACAGAGAGUGGCCCAAUUGGAUGAUGGGUUCAUCAUUAGCUCAACUGAAAAUACUUAACCUCAAGUUUUGCGAAAGAUGUCCAUGUUUGCCUCCUUUGGGGCAACUGCCUGUCCUCGAGGAGCUGGGGAUAUGGAAAAUGUACGGUGUGAAAUACAUAGGUAGUGAGUUUUUGGGAUCAUCAUCAACAGUAUUCCCAAAGCUGAAGGAAUUGGCUAUUUCUGGUUUGGAUGAAUUGAAGCAAUGGGAAAUAAAAGAAAAAGAAGAGAGGUCAAUAAUGCCAUGUCUCAAUCACUUGAUUAUGAGAGGCUGCCCAAAGCUGGAGGGACUGCCGAACCACGUGCUCCAGAGGACAACAUUGCAGAUAUUGAACAUCAGAUCUUCUCCUAUUCUGGAACGACGCUAUCGAAAGGAUAUCGGAGAGGAUCGACACAAAAUAUCUCAUAUCCCACAAGUCAAAUGUAGAUGCGACUGAAUGGUCAUCUCACUUCACCUCAUGUCACUCUUGUUACAGGGCUCUAUAAAUUUCAGGCUUCUCCAUUGAAGAGUAAGAGACGUUGAGGAAGACAACGGUUGGCGACGAACGGCGGCGGAUUGGGCGAUGCCGAAUUAUUCAUGGCGGUGAAGGGGCGGAGUCUCCAAUGAUUAGUGCCGAGAACAGCUUCCGGGAUGGUGGUGAUGAGGCAGUAACCAGCCAUGGCGGUGGGUUUGGUUGUGGCGGGAGAUUUCUUCACCCAAAGGUCAGUGUUGAUCUAUUCAAAAUCAUAACAAGAAAACCCUAAAAGAAGAUCAAAGCCGGAGCCAGUGUUGGAUUACUACAUAGCACAGGGACAAAAUUAAGAAAAUAGAGAAAAAGGUCUUCAAUGAUUAAGAGUAUGGAUUAACCAAGAAAGCAUUGUCAAUUUCAACUAUUUUUAGGGGAAAUAGAAGAAUAUAUGAUGCCAAAUAAUUAACAGAAAAUAAAUAAAUCAGUAAUUACCGAAAUGUGUGGACUAUUCAGAGGUAUUUUUUUAGGGCAAGACAAUAGUAGAUGCACAAAGUCUACAGCUGCGUCAUCCGGAGCAAGCAGUCCGGCAAGGGCCUCUAGCUUGGGGCAUUUCUCCACUGUCAAUGAACGGAGACAUGGCAUUAUUGCAACAUGGAAAAUGGAUGACAACAACCCAACAACCAGGGUUUGCUUUCUUUGCCAACUCAGACCAGGUCAUCCUUAGCAGAUGAGUACUUAAAUAAAUACAUAAGCAAAACAAUAAGUGGGUAACAUCUACUCCCCUUAAUACCCUUUGUUGUUUUUUUUCUUUUAAUAUAAGCACACUUAAUGUAAACAUCUAUUCCCUAUUUGUUUAGUUGUAUACCAAUUUAUUACUUGUAACAAAAUCACUUUUUCAAAUGCUAAUUCAUUAGUCCACUUUCCUUAUUUAAA